GACGAACGCUGGCGGCGUGCCUAACACAUGCAAGUCGAGCGAGAAUCUUGUUAAUGAUCCCUUCGGGGUGAUUUAAUGAGAGGAAAGCGGCGGACGGGUGAGUAACGCGUGAGUAACCUGCCUUCAGGAGGGGGACGAACAUUCCGAAAGGGAAGUGCUAAUAACCGCAUGACAUUGUUUUGUUCGCAUGAUGAGACAAUCAAAGAUUUAUUCGCCUGAAGAUGGACUCGCGUCUGAUUAGAUAGUUGGUGGGGUAACGGCCUACCAAGUCGAUGAUCAGUAGCCGAACUGAGAGGUUGAUCGGCCACAUUGGGACGUGAGACACGGCCCAGACUCCUACGGGAGGCANCAGUGGGGGAGUAUUGCGCAAUGGGGGCGAACCCU
rnacentral:rRNA from 1 species